rnacentral:rRNA from 1 species
GACGAACGCUGGCGGCGUGCUUAACACAUGCAAGUCGAACGGAAAGGCCCUGCUUUUGUGGGGUGCUCGAGUGGCGAACGGGUGAGUAACACGUGAGUAACCUGCCCUUGACUUUGGGAUAACUUCAGGAAACUGGGGCUAAUACCGGAUAGGAGCUCCUGCUGCAUGGUGGGGGUUGGAAAGUUUCGGCGGUUGGGGAUGGACUCGCGGCUUAUCAGCUUGUUGGUGGGGUAGUGGCUUACCAAGGCUUUGACGGGUAGCCGGCCUGAGAGGGUGACCGGCCACAUUGGGACUGAGAUACGGCCCAGACUCCUACGGGAGGCAGCAGUGGGGAAUAUUGCACAAUGGGCGGAAGCCUGAUGCAGCAACGCCGCGUGCGGGAUGACGGCCUUCGGGUUGUAAACCGCUUUCGCCUGUGACGAAGCGUGAGUGACGGUAAUGGGUAAAGAAGCACCGGCUAACUACGUGCCAGCAGCCGCGGUGAUACGUAGGGUGCGAGCGUUGUCCGGAUUUAUUGGGCGUAAAGGGCUCGUAGGUGGUUGAUCGCGUCGGAAGUGUAAUCUUGGGGCUUAACCCUGAGCGUGCUUUCGAUACGGGUUGACUUGAGGAAGGUAGGGGAGAAUGGAAUUCCUGGUGGAGCGGUGGAAUGCGCAGAUAUCAGGAGGAACACCAGUGGCGAAGGCGGUUCUCUGGGCCUUUCCUGACGCUGAGGAGCGAAAGCGUGGGGAGCGAACAGGCUUAGAUACCCUGGUAGUCCACGCUGUAAACGGUGGGUACUAGGUGUGGGGUCCAUUCCACGGGUUCCGUGCCGUAGCUAACGCUUUAAGUACCCCGCCUGGGGAGUACGGCCGCAAGGCUAAAACUCAAAGGAAUUGACGGGGCCCCGCACAAGCGGCGGAGCAUGCGGAUUAAUUCGAUGCAACGCGUAGAACCUUACCUGGGUUUGACAUGGAUCGGGAGUGCUCAGAGAUGGGUGUGCCUCUUUUGGGGUCGGUUCACAGGUGGUGCAUGGCUGUCGUCAGCUCGUGUCGUGAGAUGUUGGGUUAAGUCCCGCAACGAGCGCAACCCUUGUUCACUGUUGCCAGCACGUUAUGGUGGGGACUCAGUGGAGACCGCCGGGGUCAACUCGGAGGAAGGUGGGGAUGACGUCAAGUCAUCAUGCCCCUUAUGUCCAGGGCUUCACGCAUGCUGCAAUGGCUGGUACAGAGAGUGGCGAGCCUGUGAGGGUGAGCGAAUCUCGGAAAGUCGGUCUCAGUUCGGAUUGGGGUCUGCAACUCGACCUCAUGAAGUCGGAGUCGCUAGUAAUCGCAGAUCAGCAACGCUGCGGUGAAUACGUUCCCGGGGCU